GAUGAACGCUGGCGGCGUGCCUAAUACAUGCAAGUCGAGCGAACGGACGAGAAGCUUGCUUCUCUGAUGUUAGCGGCGGACGGGUGAGUAACACGUGGAUAACCUACCUAUAAGACUGGGAUAACUUCGGGAAACCGUAGCUAAUACCGGAUAAUAUUUUGAACCGCAUGGUUCAAAAGUGAAAGACGGUCUUGCUGUCACUUAUAGAUGGAUCCGCGCUGCAUUAGCUAGUUGGUAAGGUAACGGCUUACCAAGGCAACGAUGCAUAGCCGACCUGAGAGGGUGAACGGACACACGGGAACUGAGACACGGUCCAGACUCCUACGGGGGGACGCAGUAGGGAAUCUUACGCAAUGGGGGAGAGCCUGACGGAGCAAAGCCGCGUGAGGGAUGAAGGUGUUCGGAUCGUAAAACUCUGUUAUUAGGGAAGAACAUAUGUGUAAGUAACUGGGAAGAUAAUGACGGUACCGAAUCAGAAAGCCACGGCUAACUACGUG
rnacentral:rRNA from 1 species